CCUUUACAAGAGGGAUUGAAGGAAACAGGAGACAGAGCGAGCUGCCUGUCACCAUGGACUCAUUCAGUGAUGUCUUCAAACUAGGCAUCAUGUCAGUAUUGCCUGCCAGCAAACUGUUGAUGUGUUGUGGCGGUGCUGGUGGCAUGACCCUGUGAACAGACGCCCAGGGCAGGACGCUGGCGAUGAUUACGCCACUUGACAGCUCUGCCCAGGAACUUCCCCCACAAGGAAACUGAAUUUAAGGACUAGGAAGUCUGGCGGACCACCAUCUGAGAAACCAACAGAUGUGCAGGAUUAAGAAGGAGGAAAAUGAAGAGGCAGCAACACCCAAAGCCUAAUCUGCCAAUAAAAUUACCUAUCAUGAAUAUGGAGGGACUUUCAGAGCCGAGAUUAAUCUGUAAGCCACCUGAAAGUCCACAAGUAUAAUCACUGGACUAAGACAAUCAUCCUUAACUGCAUGAGAUUUUGAUGAUUACAGUACCCUCUCGAGUUUCGCACUCGCUUCGUUCCAAAGGUAUAGCGCUAAACUCAAGGUAUUGAAAAAGCGCUUAUCUGUUCCGACCCGUGGAGGGUUUUUUUUUGUUACAUGUGGGCUAGGGCGCCGGUAGACUACCCAUCUGGGCCUGGUGGUCGGCCUCAAGCCCGUCAUGGCACAGGCACCUGUUCAUGAUGGCGCCAUUAUAACUGGCUCAUGCUGCCCCCCGGAGCUCACUUUAUUUCCUCCUUUACUCCCGUGUUAUCUCAAAAUAUGUACCUUGGAAAAAGGAAGAAAACAAGAAGAGAGAACGGGUCGGUUUAAAGCCACAGAUGAAGCCUUACGAUUGGCUGAGCUCUGAAAACACGCUUGUGAUUUGCUGGAAGUCCGAUGACGUCAUCGCCGGCAUUCACCCGGUCAGCGGCCUUGCUGCCUUGAAGCAGUGUCACACUGGCCGUUUUCCUCUAACCGUUGUGGCUACUGGCAACGCCCGUGCGCCCAUCCAGGAGCGAGUUGUUGGUUGUCCAUAACCUGGUGUCACACUGGGCCCUAGCUGGCGCCAACUCGGUGGGAAAAAAAAAGCCGUGUGACACCAGCUUACGAAUAACCGUGAUCUCGCUCCCGGUUGGGCACACGGGCGUUGCCCAUAGCCCCAACGGUUGGACGAAAACGGCCAUUGUGACACCGACUUAAGGCAGUGAAACCGUUGAUAGGGUGAGCGCAGGCAAUGAUGUCAUCGGACUCCCAGCGAAUCACAAGCGUGUUUUCAGAAAUGUCAGCCAAUCGUAAGGCAGCUGCCUUCAACUGCAGCUUCAAAACGACCUGUUUUCUCUCUCUCUCUCUCACCAUAGCCACAAUGUUUGGAGGGAAACGUCCAGUGUGAUACUACCUUUAAAGGUAGCAUGCGUGACGCCGAUGGUAAGUAGACGUGACCCGUACAUGUCAAAGCAGUGCGAAACUCGGGGUAAUAAUGCGCGAAAGUCGGGAUGGUAAGAAUUUAGGACUAACCACGAAACUCGUGGAUCGUGAAACUUGGAUAGUGUGAAACUCGAGAGGGUACUGUAGAUCUAUAGGCCAUUUUACUUUGUGAGCUGCAUUAACUAAUUCAUGAUACAAUGCAGGUUACAGUAUAGGUUUCCCUCGCUAUUCAAUGGUUCGAAAUCAGAUAUUUCGCUUAUACGAUACUUAAGAAUUGAUACCGCUCGCUCGUUUUUCAAUGUAUGCGCUCGGUUAACCAAUCGCUGAAAUGCCAGAGUUUUCUCUUUACAACACUC